rnacentral:lncRNA from 1 species
GUUGUUAGCUUAGCCAGCUAGCUACUUCAGUUAGCUUCACGUGUUGGAAAGUGGGAUGUUUUUCUGAUGUUGGUUGAUAUGAGAUGACACCUCUUUGGUUUGUCUAUAGACUGUCAACUGCUAUGGUGUUGUCUAGCUACAAGAACAGAGACAUAAGUUGACUGAAGGUGUGUAUUGUUAGCCUCCUGCCUGGAUGUUAGAGCUGUGAUGGUGGUGUGUCCCCUGCCUUCAUUGUGACUCCUGUCCACCACCUCCGUCUCCCUGCCCAGUGUGUGUGCCACCAUUUCACCAUGACCCUGCAUCUUCUCCUGGUCCUGGGGCUCUUUUUGCUGCCUUGUCUGUCAUCCCAUGAUAUCAGCGUGUCUGGCGUUAUAGCCUGCCAGAAAAUGACAAAUCAAACCCAAUGCUUGGAAGCAUAUUUAAGAUGAAAGGGAUGCUUAGGCCUUGCUGUGUUUAUGUGCCUGGCCCUGCUUUGGUGAGUCUUUGUCAUGACAUGUUCUUUAAUUAAAUCUUACAAUACUUUUGCCGCACACGCUGCACCACCUGAGUGGUCGGAUGCAUGCAGCAAGUACAUAGAUAUACCCCAGGCAGUUUUUAUCUUCUUGGGAGGAGUUAGUUGUAAAUGGCCCAGCCCUCUUCCAGUUCCACCACAUGAUCCACUCUAAACAAGCGACAGCUUUUCUGAGAGGCAUACGAUGCAAUGUGGGUUGAGAGUAGUAGGGCAUGAAAACAAGGUUGCUAUUACCAUCUGGAAGCAUGUAAUGUGUGGUAUGACAGAGAGCUAUAAAUACAUAAUCAUUCAGCAUUCCAGCUUAGACCUGUAUGUUUGGUACACGUCAAGCCCCUAGCAUAGGGUGACCCCUAGUAAUUUAAGAGGGAGGGGAGUGAGGGGCCCUCUGCAACUUUGAUUUUCAAACCCACUGAUCCUGCUUUCCCCCAACUCCCAAACCUCCACUCUUUUCCCGUCCCGUUUGGAACAGCUGCAGAAUAAUUUAAAACACAGUGUCUGGCCUUCCAAUUAGUUUGCCAUCACUGACCAGGAAUGGCUCUCUAGGCCAUUUCACCUGAAGUUUUUAACCACAAAGGACUUAUGAUACCUCAGUGCCUAGUAGCAGCUCUAAAAUAAGGCAGGGAGGAGAGUGACUUGAGGUCACACAACUAGCUCUGCUAUCUCUCACACUGACUCCCUAACGGGGCUAGCUCCUCUCCUUCGGUACAGGCCCAAGGCUGCCUCUGGUCUGAAGAUUUCCCCCACCUGUUGUCCUCAUCAGUAGGUCUGCGCUGCAGUGGGAAAAAAGCCACCAGGUGGGCACUGCCAGAUGUUAAGGCUGAGGUGUACUGGAGCUACCUCUUCAGUCACACACAAAGUUUGGCAGGGAUCAAAGGAGGCGUAAACAGGCCUGUUUUUCUCCCAUCUGUUUCUGUAAUGGAUCCCAGGUCUCCUGAAAAAGCCCUGACACUGGUUGCUGAGAGGAAUUAAAUAAAAUAAGAGUUGCACAAAAAAAUAGAGUAAAAAUAACCAUAGUCCUGUGGUGAAAAUUUAAGCAAUUCCUAGGGCUUUUUUUUAUGAGGAUGGAAGAUGUUUGGAUAAGUCGUUGACAGCUAUAUUUUUGUAUUAAAUUUUUUUUUGAAUAAUUUAACAUUUUAUUUAACUAGGCAAGUCAGUUAAGAACAAAUUCUUAUUUACAAUGACGGCCAAACCCGGACGACGCUAGGCCAAUUGUGCGCUGCCCUACGGGACUCCCAAUCACAGCCGGUUGUGAUACAGCCUGGAAAAGAACCAGGGUGUCUGUAGUGACGCCUCAAGCACUGAUAUGCAGUGCCUUAGACCGCUGCGCCACUCUGGAGCCCAAAGGUGAUGAGGUAACAUAUUGAUGUUGCCUGCAUAACAAAUGCUUUUGGUUCAUGCUGUUUUUCAGUCUGAAUUGAUUUGAUAUAUGCCAGGACAAUUUACUGAAUUCAUUUCAGACAUACAGAAUGUCAUGGUGCCAGGAAUCUUGCUCACAAUGAAGCAUAGAGGGGUACAAUUUAUUUUGAGCAAUUACUUAUUUGGCGAUGGUUUAAUAUAAGAUUUUGACUGCAUGCAAGA